UACGUAGGGGGCAAGCGUUAUCCGGAAUCAUUGGGCGUAAAGCGCGUGUAGGCGGUUCGGUAAGUCCGCUGUGAAAGUCGGGGGCUCAACCCUCGGAUGCCGGUGGAUACUGUCGAGCUUGAGUACGGAAGAGGCGAGUGGAAUUCCUGGUGUAGCGGUGAAAUGCGCAGAUAUCAGGAGGAACACCAAUUGCGAAGGCAGCUCGCUGGGACGUUACUGACGCUGAGACGCGAAAGCGUGGGGAGCAAACAGG
rnacentral:rRNA from 1 species